GAUGAACGCUGGCGGCGUGCCUAAUACAUGCAAGUCGAGCGAACAGAUAAGGAGCUUGCUCCUUUGACGUUAGCGGCGGACGGGUGAGUAACACGUGGGUAACCUACCUAUAAGACUGGGCUAACUUCGGGAAACCGGAGCUAAUACCGGAUAACAUUUGGAACCGCAUGGUUCUAAAGUGAAAGAUGGUUUUGCUAUCACUUAUAGAUGGACCCGCGCCGUAUUAGCUAGUUGGUAAGGUAACGGCUUACCAAGGCGACGAUACGUAGCCGACCUGAGAGGGUGAUUGGCCACACUGGAACUGAGACACGGUUCAGACUCCUACAGGAGGCAGCAGUAGGGAAUCUUCCGCAAUGGGCGAAAGCCUGACGGAGCAACGCCGCGUGAGUGAUGAAGGGUUUCGGCUCGUAAAACUCUGUUAUUAGGGAAGAACAAACGUGUAAGUCACUGUGCACGCCUUGACGGUACCUAAUCAGAGAGCCACGGCUAACUACGUGCCAGCCGCCGCGGUAA
rnacentral:rRNA from 1 species